GGGCAUAUGGUGUAGGGGUUAUCACGUUCGCUUUGCAUCGUAUAUCAAAUCUUCUGCAUGCGAAAGGUCUCCGGUUCAAAUCCGGAUUUGUCCA